AUUGAACGCUGGCGGCAGGCCUAACACAUGCAAGUCGAACGAGUGGCGGACGGGUGAGGAAGGGCUGGGAAACUGCCCGCUGGCGGGGGAUAACGGCUGGCAACGGUAGCCAAUACCGCAUACCACCGGAGCUGCCCAGAUGGGAUUAGCUGGUAGGUGGGGUAACGCCUCACCUAGGCGACGAUCCCUAGCUGCUCUGAGAGGAUGACCAGCCACCCUGGAAUUGGACCAGGGCCCAGACUCUUACGGGAGGAACCAGUGGGGAAUAUUGGCCAAGGGGCGAAAGCCUGAUGCGGCAAGGCCGCGGGGAUGAAGAAGGCCUUCGGGUUGAAAAGUACUUUCAGCGAGGAGGCGUUACUCGCAGAGGAAGCACCGGCUAACUCCGUGCCAGCAGCCGCGGUAAUAC
rnacentral:rRNA from 1 species